GUCUACGGCCAUACCACCCUGAACACGCCCGAUCUUGUCUGAUCUCAGAAGCUAAGCAGGGUAGGGCCUGGUUAGUACUUGGAUGGGAGAAAGGUUAUACAGACAAUGGUGUAGCCA
rnacentral:rRNA from 1 species